GGGGUUGUGGCUCAGUGGUAGAGCACUUGCCUAGUGUGUGUGAGGCCCUGGGUUCAAUCCCAGCACUCG
rnacentral:tRNA from 1 species